ACCAAUAUGCUGGUUGGGGCAGACAUUGACAUCGGGUUGAGAAUUCUGUCCAAUUCAUAUACAAACAGUAAACAGCUGAGAGCUGCUGAAACACCUCGUAAAUAAUAACAUUUAAUUUCAAAAUUUCCAAGCAAAAACCGUAAAAACCAUUAAUCUUUUCAAGUUCAGAAAGCAAAAUUUGUAAAUAUGAAACCAGUGCAAAAAUGCAUCAUUCCAACUUGUCAAAAUCGGCUUGGAACUGCAAAUUGUGUCGAUUUUUUCACCGUUCCGUCGACCGGACAUAAGGUUUUCAAAUGUUGGACAAAAAUCGUGAACCUAUCAGGAGAGCGGAUAGAAAAAAUUUGUGCCGAUCAUUUUACCAAAAACGAUUUUAUUACAUAUACUCGUACAAAACUGAAGCAAGAUGCUAUCCCUACAUUGCAAAUCCCAGAGCAGGGCCCGAUACUGCCCGAUAGGGCCCGAUCUAACGCUGUUCCGUCGAAAAAAAUUCAACGGCAAAUUCGGUUACCCCAGAAGCUGAACUUUCCUGAUCGUACGAUCCACAACUACACUGUCCACGCUUGUAAAUCAAGGAGUAACAGAAUAUGCUUCGUUAACGGAUGCCGGUCUCGUAAAAUAGGGAAUAUAAAGCUACACAGUUUUCCGGCACAGAGUGACACCAGGUUCAAAGAAUGGAUCCGUAUUUUGAAAUGCACUAAACUACCAACGGUCAAUUCUAAAGUGUGUAGUCUCCAUUUCAAGAAAUCUGAUUAUAUUGGGGGUGGACCACGAUUGAAACCAUACGCAAAGCCUUCAGUCGAAAGUCGGGGGGCUCAGAUAAAUUCCAUUAACCAAACCGAAGGUGAUUCGUCGAGUUCUGCUGAAAUUAGCUUCACCCAUAGUAACACACCAACCCUGGAUUAUCCCGAACAAAAUGAGCUUGAAGAAGUUCAUCGUCCUGCGUAUCAAUCACCCAUCCCACAUGAUUCGAAUAACGGCGAACAUACACCAGAUGGUGAAAGCAACCAAGAAAGUAACUACCUAUCGAUCGAGGAGACCACAAACGAUAACGUGGAGUUCGAGUUUGUUGCAGUUUAGUUUAAUGUUACACAUGUUACUCUCAACAUCAAUUCAUUAUAUGUGGAAACAUAAUACAAUAUGCAAAGGAAUAAAUUGUACUGCAA